UUCAAGAGAGAGAGAAGGAAAGUGAGAGCUACAAAAAAAAAAAAAAAAAAAAAAAAAAAAGGCCAUUCGGCCGUGUGAGAGAAAAAAAAAAUUGUUGGAGCUCAAAUCUUUGGUUCAAAAUUCAUCUCUUUUGAAUUCCUAUUAAGCCCGGAACCCUCUUCAAUGUGAUACAAAUUUGGAGAUAUUGGAGAGCCCGAGACUUGAGUCGGGAUUUGUUUGGCGAGUGAUCGAGAUUUGGUAGUGAGCGAUCGAGGUACGGACGUUAGUUUUGGUGAUCCUCCAGUAUAGGAUACAUAUUCUGCCACUUGGAUUACUCCCCUUGAUCCGGAGCUCAUAUUUUUGGUACAUAUCUUCUGUUAUACAUAUUCUGUAUAUAUGACUAUUUGGGUACGGCGGGGCCCUGUCCCGUCAUAUGUUUCUGUUAUGUUUUGUAGAGGCCUGUAGUCAUAUAUGUGGGUCAUGGGUCAUGUUUGUUCGUUUGUGAUUAUGAUCUGCGUCUUAAUGCGGCCCCGUUUACUAUUAUGGCCACAACGGCCCCUCUGUUUGUAUAUGUGUGUAUAAUCUGGGCGAUGUCUAUUCCGCCAGCCUACAGGAUUUGAUAUGAUGACUCUGUACGGGCGACCGCUUAAGACGAUAUUUGCUUCCAGUAUCUGCUUAAAUUAAUGUAUGUUAAGUUUGACUAAGUCCUUGAUAUGUCGAUCUGGUACGUAAGUCUGUUUGGGUGUCCAAAUAGGGCACCAGUCGCGGCCCACGGGGCUGGGUCGUGACACGGAUAGUCAUUUUAGGGGUUGAAAAGGUACCCGAAGUAAGUUUUGUUUGGAAACUUUAGGGUGUUUUAUUUUUUAAGAUUUUGAUUUAAGCGUGUAAUUUUUUAAUCAAGACAUAACUUUAUUUUGAAUAUAAAUAUAAUUCUAAAAAAUAUAGGGAGAAAAUCUAGUUGUAAAGUGGUCAAACUUUAGAUGGUCAUAACUUUGCGCUCGGAUGUUCGAUUUACGCGAUUUUUUUUUUUUUUGGGUAUUUUUUCGAGAUCUAUGCGGACCGAUUUUAAAAAAAAACACCUUUUAUCCCAUUCAAUUUUAAUUUUCCCCCAAAUUGGCGUGAAAUUUUCAGUUUUAUUUACUUAUAAUAUGAUGAUACGCAAUAGAUUUCAACGUAAAAAUCCCGGGGUAAUGUAGCUGUGAAUGUCAAUUUCACUUCUGUGGUUUCAAUUUUUGAAAAUAAAGCUGACUAAUUUCUCGACAUAUAAAGUUGACUAAAAUAACCUUACAGUCAAACACUAAGUUUUUUCAAACAAAACUUACUUCGGGCACCUUUUCAACCCCUAAAAUGACGAUCCGAACGUCUACGUAUCCUUGAUGUA